CAGAAUUCUCUCUAAUAUUCACAAUUGAAAUCUGAGCCUAAUAUCUUACCUUUAAAAAAAAAAAAGAAAUGAAAAGGCAGAAGCAUUCAAACUAGGACUCUGUCUGCCUGGGGCUUUUAAAAAUUUUGUGGAGGAAGGACUCAUAGAACCAUAAUGAGAAACAAGAAGAUGGUAGCCUGCAAUGUGGAAGAGGGCCCUCAUCAGAACUCAACCACGGGGACACUCUGACCUCUGAUUCUUAACCUCUAAAAAUCUCAACCUUGGGGAAGAACUGGAAGCAAAGCUACAGAGAUUCAACAAGUUGAAGACAGUAGGCAUAAGAAGUAUUCUAUGUGCAAG